rnacentral:tRNA from 1 species
UCUAAUAUGGCAGAAUAAUGCAUUGAAUUUAAGCUUCAAUUAUAAAGUUUAUCUUUUUUUAGAA